rnacentral:lncRNA from 1 species
AAUUGAUCAGUAAUGAUCCAGGAGAUCUAUUAGGAGGAUUUAACAGGGACCCAAUGAAUUUUCAAUGUGCAACCAAAAUUAGAACUCAGGCUCUUGGUUUAAAUAUAGUGCAUGUAUGUGUUUGCUUUAAGGGAGCAGCUGUGGAAAGACAGAAGAUGAAAGCUCCCAUUCCAAAUUUGAUUCUCUUGUAUGCUACUCUAACUCAGAGCUUGAAGGUUGUGACCAAAAGAGGAUCAGCUCAUCUGGAAAUUUUCCCUCUCCACUUUUGAGGUGUUACUGAACUUCUCAACUUGACAGUUUC